GGCGUCUACAGCCCACCUAGGGCUCUGCCCAUAGGACCAUGCUGGGGCUCAGAGCCCCGUUAUAUCUCUCCUCUCUCGCUGGGGUAAGACCUUGCUGUGUCUGACAUUAGGCACAUGUUCCUGCAAUGGUGAAUAAGUCAGGGAACCUGGGCAUGCAUAAUAGGACUUUUGGGGGUCGAUCUGGUAUGAUAAACUUUUCCAGUGGUGAAGUUGAUCUAGGAUACGCUUUAUCUUAGAAGUUACAGAAACUUGUAAGGAGCAGCCAGAGGACCGAGGAGCCCACAGCUGGGUUUUCACUUCCUCCUUGUGUACUGCUGCCUCAGCUUCUCAAAGUUUAUGGUGUUUAUGAAGAUCUGUAACAGCUGGCGCCAAACCCAGCUCCUAGGAGAAUCGCUUCUGGGAGGAUGCUGAAGACCGCAUUUCAGCUUCAGGAAUGGGGAGAAAGUAGAGUUGAAAAUCUCAUUUUCAUAACAUCAUCAUCAUCAUCAUCACAGCUGCCGUUAAUUGAAUGCCUUCCAAGCGCCAGAUGGGGAUGCAAAAUCAAACUUUUGAGAGUCAGCAAGGGCAAGAUUUCCAAAACCAAAGAGGCGAGGGAGACAGGCUGGCUGACGUUUUGAGAAAUCUGAGUUGCUAUCCAUCUCCAAGAAAUCAUCCUGAAACCAAUGGACAGGUACUACUAUGAUAUCCACCUGACAGAUGAGACUGCUGAGGAUGGAGAAAUUUCAGAAUCUUGCCAAGCCUCUCUCCUAAUAUGUACAGGAGCCAGGAUUUGAACCCAGACACAUUGACCUCUUACCUGCCCCACAAAGACCGACAUCUUUGAAAGCAGACAACGCCAGGUUUGAAUCCCAGCUUUGCCACAUCUCAGAUGCAGAUUCAGCCGCCUUCGACCCAGUGCUGUGCUCCAGGGAACAGAAGCCCAACAUGGUGGUGAAACUGAACUCUAGUCUCAGUCUGGAAUCCUUUCGGCUACUAUUGCCCGUGAAAGAGUGAGAUCAUUUUCCUUCAAAGAAUGUAAGUGCUGUCAAUAAAGAGCUCGGCUAGUGAUGGAGUAUUGCUAUAGUGACCAGUAUUCCAUUACAACAACCUAGAAUGACAAGAGGUCUUGCCAGUGGCAACAGGCUGGAAUUUGGUAUCUUUACUCCUCUGAUGUAAUUUAAUUGAUAUACAAAACAUUGUGCAUAUUUAAUGUAUACAAUUUGAUGACUUUGGAAAUAAGCAUACACUCAUGAAACCAUCAUCAUAUCCAUCACCUCCAGAAGUUUCCCGCAUCCCUUUUUAUGUGUGGUAAGAAUACUCGAUGUUAGAUGUACCCUCUUAACAAAUUUUUAAGUAUACAAUACAAUAUUGUUGACUAUAGGCACUAGGCCGUAGAGCAGAUCUCUAGAACCAAUUUUGAAAGAGCUACACUUUUGGACAAUAUAUGCUUUGCGUUUUGGUACAAGUUAGUGGCAGUAGAGAGUCCCAAGGGAAAUGACUUCUUACUAAUAUGGCAAAUGAGGGAUCAGGCACAUAUAAUUGUAACCAAGGUUGGUAGAACUUACCAGGUCGGUUUCAGGUGCAUUCAGUGCAUGGAGGAGUGAAUGACUGUGUAUGCUAUUCCCCGACUGCAACGUUUAACAGGGAGGAUGGAGACCUUUGAGUCAGAAAGACCAGUGUUAGGAAUCUGAUUGACUAGCUGUGUAAAUGUGAGCAGUGAUUUAAUCUCUCUGAGCAUCAGUUUCCAUUUCUGCUGCAUGUGAAUGUUCAUGUCUAUUUCAGAAGAUUUGUGAGACAAUGCAGGCCUCCUGAUUCCCACCUAGACCUAUCCCCACCAUUCACUGUAUGUCCUUGUCAUAGGCAACCAUUCACAGACCGCUAGUUUUUCAAAUCCGGCCCUAGAGAAGGGCUGAACAGUAGAUGCAGUAAAAGACUGUUUGCUGCCAAUGUGCACAAGAAUCUAUUCUCCACCCAAAACUGAGCGUGAGAACAUUACCAUAACACAUCUUCUACAAAGUCCUAUUUCCCCUCUACAGCUAAGAUUGUCCCCCUCUGUCAAAUGGAGACAGUACUUGGGAUCAAAAUAGGAUCAAAAUUCAGAAGGAAACAAAACAUAAGUUGAAGAGAAAGUGCUCUCAAAAGGAAGUGAAAAUACGGGAGGCUCUAGAUUGCUCAGGAUUGUGGUUUUAGGUACUAGAAGAUCUAUUCUUACACUUUGCCUUUUUAUGAUAUAUUUUAAUAGAGAAAGAGUAGGUAGAAAUUUGAUGCACAGAAGUAUUUUGAAUGUACUAAAUUCACUAUGUAUCUGGCUAUUAAGUUAAUAUCCUGUGGUCCUUAUGGUUCAUUUUGGCUCUCUAUAAUGCAGGCUCCAUAAGGACAGGGGCUAGGGUUUAUCUUGUAGAUUGUUGAUCCUCAAUCCUUUCAUUGACUCUCUCACUCAUUCAUUCAUUCAAAAAUAUUUUUGUACUCUUGCUAAUUGUUGGACUGUCCUACAUGUAGGGAAAAGACAUAAAAGUAUUCUGCCUUAAUAGAACUUUUAUUCUAAAAUGGGGAGCAGAUAAAGAUGAAUAUUUUCUGAUAGGAUUUUCUAACGAAUAAGAUGUUGUUAAAGAUGAUUUGGGGAUGCUCUUCUUUAGAUAGAGUGGUCAGAGAAAGAAUCAGCAAUUCAAAAAACCAUGAAAAAACAUGGAAGAGGGAACAUGAAACACAAAAUUUUGAGAUUGGAAAUAGCUUGUCAAGUCCUAACAAUUUAUAGAAACCAGUGUGGCAGGAGGAUGGGGAGUGAAGACCUGGAGUCUGGCACUUAGUAGACACUCAAUAGCUAUUUAAUCUAUUAUUAAUCCAUGUGUCCAUCUGAGGUCUUUAGCUUUGUAAGUGUCAUUCGUUCUCAUUGAUUUAGUAUUGAAACUCUUCAACUCCCUUUUCUUCCUCAUCCACCCCGCCCACUCAGGUACCAAGUCCUGUUGUGUUUCUGUAAACUUCCCAACUCUCACUCUUACCCAUAUUGCCUCUUUUCCCUCAUUGUUCCCAAAUGCCUUACUGCAAGUCCUCUGAGCUCUAAUUUGGACUAUAGCAAUAGCCUCCUCUUCCUCUAGUCUAUAGUCUACAUUAUUAUUGCCCCCCUCAUUUCCUGUUGUGUCUUUCCUCUGUUAGCAGCACCUGUGUGGUAUCAGAAGAUUGACCACACUCAUAUUUCCAAGAAAUGAUCCCUUCUGUGCUGAUGCUACACCACUGACAUCUUCACAUUGUGAUUGGCUCAAGGAAGGGCCUGUAACCCAGGCAGUGAUGGGCUUUCCCAUGGUCAAAAUUGAUAGCUACAGGCAUGGUUACAUGUCUCAACAUAGGUCCACUCAGUGUGAAACCCUGGCUUCAUGAUUGGAUGAAGAGAAACUCUUUCUUCUUUUGGAUUGUUAUAAGUGCUUGAGGCCUAAGAUUGCUGUGGCUGUUUGGCUCUCAUGUUGGAAGCCAGCCUCAGGAACAUCUGAGAGAUGACAGAGGGCUGAGCCUGGAAAAUUGUAGAGAAGAGGAUUUAAAGACCUUAAUCACUUUCCUCAAGCCCUCAUCUCCAGACCUCAGUUUUGUUAACUGGACAAUUUCCUUUAUCAUUUGAGGUGUUUUGAGUUAGAUUUCUUUUUACACGUGUAAACUAUUCAACUCCUGAGUAAGCUACUAUCUCAGGUGUGACUUUAUCUACCAGAUGCUAAUGUCUGCUGUAGGAAUUAUAAUAAAAACAAUAGCUAAUAUUUAUUGAGGACUUACUGUGUUCUCAGCACUGUUCUAGUAGUUUAGAUGUAUUAUCUCAUGUAUAGCUCACAAUAACCUUAUGACUUAGAUGUUAUUAUUAAGGUCAUCUACAGAGGAGCAUUCUGAGGCCCAGAAAGGUUAAGCAAUUUAUCAAGGCCACCUGGCUAAUAAAGAAUAGCAGGUAUAUUACUUAUAUAUGGUUGCAUGACAAAUUAUCCCCAAAUUUAGC